rnacentral:rRNA from 1 species
UACGUAGGGGGCUAGCGUUGUCCGGAAUCAUUGGGCGUAAAGCGCGUGUAGGCGGUUCGGUAAGUCUGCUGUGAAAGUCGGGGGCUCAACCCUCGGAUGCCGGUGGAUACUGCCGGGCUAGAGUACGGAAGAGGCGAGUGGAAUUCCUGGUGUAGCGGUGAAAUGCGCAGAUAUCAGGAGGAACACCAAUUGCGAAGGCAGCUCGCUGGGACGUUACUGACGCUGAGACGCGAAAGCGUGGGGAGCAAACAGG